rnacentral:rRNA from 1 species
CGGUGGAGCAUGUGGUUCAAUUCGACGCAACGCGAAGAACCUUACCCAGGCUUGAACAGCGAGUGACCACUCAUGAAAGUACUCCACUGAGAGGUGUGACGAGCGCAACCCUUGUCUUCUGUUGCCAUCGGGAUGUCAAGUAGCAUGGCCUUUAUGUCUGGGCUACAUACAUGGCCGACACAACCGUCGCGAGCCCGCAAGGGGGAGCUUCGGAGAAAGUCGGUCUCAGUUCGGAUCGUCGUGCAACUCGCCGGCGUGAAGUUGGAAUCGCUAGUAAUCGGGAUCAGCACGCCGCGGUGAAUACGUUCCCGGGCCUUGUACACACCGCCGUCACAUCACGAAAGCCGGUUGUACUAGAAGCCGCCACAUCAACCCGCAAGGGAGAGAGGCGUCUAAGUAUGGUCGGUGAUUGGGGUGAAGUCGUACAAGGU